rnacentral:ncRNA from 1 species
AUAAAGUUUUAUUCUAGCUUUUAAUUUAGAUUAAAAAUUAUUUUACAUGCAAAUUUUUGUGUUCUUAAUAGAUUUCUAAAUGACUGUUUAAAAAUAACACAGUAUAUAGUUUUAUAUAUUAUUAAGAUUAGAUAUAGUAAUUUUUAUUAAAGUGGACAAAAUUCGUGCCAGCAGUCGCGGUUAUACGAUUUACUUGAUUUAAAUAUUAAAAUCUCAGUUAUAAUCACUAAUGAUUAAAAAAUUUAUUAAUUUUGGUGAAAUAUAUUUUUAAUGAAAUUCUUUUAUUAUGUCUGGAAAACCUUGUUGUAGACUAGGAUUAGAUACCCUAUUAUUAAAGGUGUAAAAUGUAUGAUUAGAUAACUAAUAGUUAUGAUCUUUAAAUUCAAAGAAUUUGGCGGUAAUUCAUCUUUUCAGAGGAACCUGUUCUGUAAUUGAUAGUCCACGAUUUAAUAUACUUUAAUUUUACUUGUAUAUCUCUGUCGAGAAUGUUCUAUAAGGAGAAUUUUCAUUAAUUUUAUUAGUUUUAUGUCAGGUCAAGGUGCAGUUUAUUUUAAAGUAGAAAUGGGUUACAUUUAAUUAUUUUUGAAUUAAUGUCUAAUUUAGAUAUUAUGAAAUAGGAUUUGAUAAUAAAUUCAUUAUAUUAUCUUAGUUGAAUAAAGCUCUGAAUUAUGUACACAUCGCCCGUCACUCUCACUCUAAAGUGAGAUAAGUCGUAACAAAGUAGUUGUACCGGAAGGUGCAGCUAGAAUGA